UGCGUAGGUGGACUAGUAAGUCAGUGGUGAAAUCUCCGGGCUUAACCCGGAAACUGCCAUUGAUACUAUUAGUCUUGAAUACCGUGGAGGUCAGCGGAAUAUGUCAUGUAGCGGUGAAAUGCUUAGAUAUGACAUAGAACACCAAUUGCGAAGGCAGCUGGCUACACGAAUAUUGACACUCAGGCACGAAAGCGCGGGGAGCAAACG
rnacentral:rRNA from 1 species